GCCGAUGUAGCUCAGCUGGCCAGAGCACGUGAUUUGUAAUCUCGGGGUCGACGGUUCGAAUCCGCCCAUCGGCU
rnacentral:tRNA from 1 species